rnacentral:rRNA from 1 species
UGAGGAAUAUUGGACAAUGGGCGCAAGCCUGAUCCAGCCAUGCCGCGUGCAGGAAGAAGCAUCUAUGGUGUGUAAACUGCUUUUGUACGGGAAGAGACACUCCUUCGUGAAGGAGCUUGACGGUACCGUAAGAAUAAGGAUCGGCUAACUCCGUGCCAGCAGCCGCGGUAAUACGGAGGGUCCAAGCGUUAUCCGGAAUCAUUGGGUUUAAAGGGUCCGUAGGCGGUUUAGUAAGUCAGUAGUGAAAGCCCAUCGCUCAACGAUGGAACGGCCAUUGAUACUGCUAGACUUGAAUUAUUAGGAAGUAACUAGAAUAUGUAGUGUAGCGGUAAAAUGCUUAGAUAUUACAUGGAAUACCAAAUGCGAAGGCAGGUUACUACUAAUGGAUUGACGCUGAUGGACGAAAGCGUGGAGAGCGAACA